UACGUAGGGGGCGAGCGUUGUCCGAAGUUACUGGGCGUAAAGCGCGCGUAGGCGGCCAUUCAAGUCAGAGGUGAAAGCCCAGGGCUCAACCUUGGAACUGCCUUUGAAACUAGAUGGCUAGAAUUCUGGAGAGGUCAGUGGAAUUCCGAGUGUAGAGGUGAAAUUCGUAGAUAUUCGGAAGAACACCAGGUGGCGAAGGCGACUGACUGGACAGAUAUUGACGCUGAGGUGCGAAAGCGUGGGGAGCAAACA
rnacentral:rRNA from 1 species